UUUCCGUAGGUGAACCUGCGGAAGGAUCAUUGUAGGAUUGUUUUGGGAGGGGUGGUUGUGAUUUGUGGGGAUUGUGUGUGGUUGUUUGGAUUGCCUGGAUUGCCUGGCUGUCUGCAACUCGACUCGUCUCAUCACAACCACUCUUUACAUUGGCACAGACCAGUGGUCUGAUGUUUAGAGCACAGACUCAGUCUGAUGUUUGCGCUUGUUCGUUUGACAGAAACAGUACCAUAUCAUUGCAAAACUUUUAACAAUGGAUCUCUUGGCUCUU
rnacentral:misc_RNA from 1 species